UACGUAGGGGGCAAGCGUUGUCCGGAUUUAUUGGGCGUAAAGAGCGUGUAGGCGGUUUGGUAGGUCCGCUGUGAAAACUCGAGGCUCAACCUCGAGACGCCGGUGGAAACCAUCAGACUAGAGUCCGGAAGAGGAGAGUGGAAUUCCUGGUGUAGCGGUGAAAUGCGUAGAUAUCGGAAGGAACACCAGUGGCGAAAGCGGCUUCCUGGUCCGACACCGACGUUCAGGCACGAAAGCGUGGGGAGCAAACAGG
rnacentral:rRNA from 1 species